rnacentral:rRNA from 1 species
ACUCCUACGGGAGGCAGCAGUGGGGAAUAUUGCACAAUGGGCGCAAGCCUGAUGCAGCCAUGCCGCGUGUGUGAAGAAGGCCUCGGUUGUAAAGCACUUUCAGUCGUGAGGAAGGUAGUGUAGUUAAUAGCUGCAUUAUUUGUACGUUAGCGACAGAAGAAGCACCGGCUAACUCCGUGCCAGCAGCCGCGGUAAUACGGAGGGUGCGAGCGUUAAUCGGAAUUACUGGGCGUAAAGCGCAUGCAGGUGGUUUGUUAAGUCAGAUGUGAAAGCCCGGGGCUCAACCUCGGAAUAGCAUUUGAAACUGGCAGACUAGAGUACUGUAGAGGGGGUAGAAUUUCAGGUGUAGCGGUGAAAUGCGUAGAGAUCUGAAGGAAUACCGGUGGCGAAGGCGGCCCCCUGGACAGAUACUGACACUCAGAUGCGAAAGCGUGGGGAGCAAACAGGAUUAGAUACCCUGGUAGGAUAGCG